ensembl:lncRNA
CCUCCGGCCCCGCUGAGCCGUUGUAUAGUGUAUUUUUGUGUGUGUUUCUGUGCUCUGUGCCUCUCCUCUCUCCUCUCCUUCUCCUUCUCCCUCUCCUCUUCCCCCUCCUUCUCCCUCUCCUCUCCUCUCCUCUCCUUCUCCUCUUCUCUCCUCUCCUUCUCCCUCUCCUCUCUCUCUUCCCAGCCGGCCAUCAGCAGGAGGGUCCCCCUACAUGAGCCUGGUCCUGCUCACGGUUUCUUCCUGUUAAAGGGGAGUUUUUCCUUGCCACUGUUGCUUGUCUGGGGUCAGGCCCUGGGAUUCUGGAAAGCGCCUAAAAACAAUUUUGAUUGUAUAAGACGCUAUAUAACACUUUGCUCUGUUUUUCUUGUGUUUCAGGCUCCCCAACCUGUCCCAGACCUGCUAUAUGAACUCUGUUCUCCAGAGCCUCCUGACCUCCAUGCCUUUUGUGAAGGAGCUCAACAAACAGAGUCAACAGUGGCUUUCGCACCCAAAAGCUCUGCUUUUCAAGUUGCUCACAGAUAUAAACAACUGCUUCACUACAAAAAACAGCAUGCAGAAGAAAUCCACCCUCUUCACCUUCCUGCGCACCAUUGCCCUGCAUCAUCCAGACUUUAUAAAAGAUGAGCAACAAGUAAUCAUUCUUUUAUUUGGAAUAGCAUCAUCCUGAUCUUUUCUGGACUAGACACUUUGGUCUGUCUGCAGGAUGCCCACGAAUUUUUGAACACCGUCCUGGAACAGCUCAGCUCCGUCUCUACAGAGCUCAGGUCAAUGGCAACUGACAAAGAGCAGAGCUACACCUGCCCUGUGGAGGCUCACAUCAGCUUCCAGAUGUUGAGCACCAUGCUGUGCCACAGGUGGGAAUAUACCUGGAAACCUUCUGCUCCUGCAUAGGUGUUGAACUUGUUUAGUUGAAUCCUUAGUUAUUUGAAUCCUCUCUUGAAUUCACAGUUGUGGCCAUAAAUCUGAAAAUGUGGAGGAGUGUUUGAACCUGUCCGUGGCGCCUGAGGACACCAUCAUGCAAGGAAUACAGCUGUACCUGAAAGUAAGGGACACAUGUUUGGUGUUCAUGUGUGAAUGAUGGAGGAGCUGUUGAACCUCACAACUGUUGUUGAUUCUGCAGGAGCAACUGCUGGAUUACAAAUGUGACUGUGGCGCCUCCCAGACGACAGAGCAAAGAUCCUUCUUCAAUCUGCCAAAGUGAGAACCAGCCAUCUCAGCAUCCUCACAUCUGCUGCCUUCUAAAGGCCCUAACUGUCUCUACAUCUCCUCUUCCCUCCCCUUUUCUUCUCGAUAGUGUGCUGAUCAUCCACCUAUUGAGAUUUAAGUGGUCCUACUUUGCUGCGCAAAAAAUUCACAAAGCCACAUGUUUAUCCAGGGAGCUGCUGCUCCAUACAAAUCAGAGCAGUGAGAAGGUAAACCCUUGAUAAACCUUUAAGCAGUCAUCAGUCUGAAAUGGCUCAAAGAGUGGAGCUAAUGGCUUGUUCUUUUGAUUUUCUGUAGACAAAAUAUACUCUGAAGAGCAUCGUCAACCAUUUGGGGAGUUGCACUACCAGCGGUCAGUGUUUAGCUGUCAGUACUGUGUUGAAAACCAAUGUUCUCCUCGUUUGACCACUAACAAAGCAGUUCCUUCCUUCACAGGCCAUUACAUUUGUGACGGAGUUUAUCGAAACGCAAGCCAAGGGGAUGGGAAUGCCUGCUGGGUGACAUAUGAUGACGACAUUGUCAAAGAAACAACUUUUAACCACGUGUGCCAGCAGCGGCAGAAAACAGCGUAUUUACUCUAUUAUGAGAAGAAUUAGAAUCAGGACAAGAAAUAUGACUAAAUAUGUCGUUUGUUAGAACUGGUUGUCUCAGGACCCGAGAGCAGGCAACACGCAAUGGGGAAUAGUGUCCUAAAAGCGCCUUUAUUCGAAACACAGGGUGCACAACGUUCUGCUGGGUCGUUCGGAGAAACUCUCACUCGGUCCUCCGGGACGCAUCGGUAGCUCCAGCGCGGAUCCAAUGCGGACCAUUAGUUCGCCGAGCAGUUCAUGUCCGCAGGUAGGCGUGGAGACCUCGACCGAGUGACAACGUUAGCAAGUUACCAUGAGGAGAACAAAACACUCUUGGCAGACGGGCGCUCUGUCUCUAAAUGGAACGGUUGAUGGAAAGAUGUGUCCGCCUGCUGUGGAUGAUGAUCGGCUCCACCACGCCCCCCUGCAGGGAGAAACAAGCCACAAGUGACCCGGAACCCAACAGUUUAUUAUUAAAUAGGAUAAUGCACCUAAAUGUCAGACUGAUGUAAAGAAGGCACGCAUGUUUGAACCAAUAAUUGUGUAUUCAAAUAUUGUAAUCUAUUUCUUUAGAUCCAUUUUCGGUGCUCUUAUGAUUGUCAUACUUUUAUUGAUAAUUUUUAUUAAAUAGAGUUAUGAACUCAAUGUAUUGUAUUUUGACAGUUCCUAUUCCAAGGGUUAAUAAUGGUAACUAUGUCUCUCUGACUAUGUAGCUUCUUUCUUUUUCAAAUUUAAAAUAAUGGAUAAUUAUUUGUGAUUUUUGGUUAUCACAAUUUUGACAGUAUUUACUCAGAUUUCUAAUGGUAACGUAUUGCGUCACAUCUGUCUUCUCAAUCGUUCGUUAGUUGCAUUGUGCACGGGGUGUUGUAUUCACUUAAUAUUGAACACUUUGUGUGUUGUAUUCAGUUCAAUUAAAAUUCGAACACUUGGGACAUUCUAGUCGCCUGAUAACAGUGAGAAAUAACCCAUAUUAAACAAAUACAGGGCUCCACCGAUUAUCAGCGUUAGCGUGGCCUCAUCGUCUGUUUCACCCGGUGUCUUUGUCUGUUCAGCGUGUGAAAUGUUUAGUUACUCCUCUGCCUCCUUUAGUGAAGGGAAUAGGGGCAGAAAGUUGAGUUCAUUUAUGGCUACGGAGGCGAGACUUAAUGAGAUUGAGACGCGGUUCCGCAGCUUGGAGUUAGCUUGAGUUGCGUCAUGUAGCCAGGGUAAGCUAGCUGC